CCUACGGGAGGCAGCAGUGGGGAAUAUUGCACAAUGGGGGAAACCCUGAUGCAGCGACGCCGCGUGAGUGAAGAAGUAAUUCGUUAUGUAAAGCUCUAUCAGCAGGGAAGAAAAUGACGGUACCUGAGUAAGAAGCACCGGCUAACUACGUGCCAGCAGCCGCGGUAAUACGUAGGGGGCAAGCGGUAGCCGGAUUUACUGGGUGGAAAGGGAGCGUAGACGGCAGUGCAAGUCUGGAGUGAAAGGCGGGGGCUCAACCCCCGGACUGCGCUGGAAACUGUACGGCUGGAGUGCAGGAGAGGUAAGUGGAAUUCCUAGUGUAGCGGUGAAAUGCGUAGAUAUUAGGAGGAACACCAGUGGCGAAGGCGGCUUACUGGACUGUAACUGACGUUGAGGCUCGAAAGCGUGGGGAGCAAACAGGAUUAGAUACCCGUGUAGUC
rnacentral:rRNA from 1 species